rnacentral:rRNA from 1 species
UACGGAGGGUGCGAGCGUUGUCCGGAAUCACUGGGCGUAAAGGGCGCGUAGGCGGCAUGCCAAGCGUGUGGUGAAAGCCCGGGGCUCAACCCCGGGUCGGCCGUGCGGACUGGCGUGCUUGAGCACUGUAGGGGCGGGUGGAAUUCCGGGUGUAGCGGUGGAAUGCGUAGAGAUCCGGAAGAACACCGGUGGCGAAGGCGGCCUGCUGGGCAGUUGCUGACACUGAGGCGCGACAGCGUGGGGAGCAAACAGG